rnacentral:rRNA from 1 species
UGUGACUGCGUACCUUUUGUAUAAUGGGUCAGCGACUUAUAUUCUGUAGCAAGGUUAACCGUAUAGGGGAGCCGUAGGGAAACCGAGUCUUAACCGGGCGUUAAGUUGCAGGGUAUAGACCCGAAACCCGGUGAUCUAGCCAUGGGCAGGUUGAAGGUUGGGUAACACUAACUGGAGGACCGAACCGACUAAUGUUGAAAAAUUAGCGGAUGACCUGUGGCUGGGGGUGAAAGGCCAAUCAAACCGGGAGAUAGCUGGUUCUCCCCGAAAGCUAUUUAGGUAGCGCCUCGUGAAUUCAUCUCCGGGGGUAGAGCACUGUUUCGGCUAGGGGGCCAUCCCGGCUUACCAACCCGAUGCAAACUGCGAAUACCGGAGAAUGUUAUCACGGGAGACACACGGCGGGUGCUAACGUCCGUCGUGAAGAGGGAAACAACCCAGACCGCCAGCUAAGGUCCCAAAGUCAUGGUUAAGUGGGAAACGAUGUGGGAAGGCCCAGACAGCCAGGAUGUUGGCUUAGAAGCAGCCAUCAUUUAAAGAAAGCGUAAUAGCUCACUGGUCGAGUCGGCCUGCGCGGAAGAUGUAACGGGGCUAAACCAUGCACCGAAGCUGCGGCAGCGAACGUAUCACCCAAGACAACUUUACGGAGUUGACGAUUGACGGAGCGAAGCGACGUCAAAGCGUUCAUUAAAGUCGAGUUGGCUUAGGGAUACGUUCGUUGGGUAGGGGAGCGUUCUGUAAGCCUGUGAAGGUGUGUCGUGAGGCAUGCUGGAGGUAUCAGAAGUGCGAAUGCUGACAUAAGUAACGAUAAAGCGGGUGAAAAGCCCGCUCGCCGGAAGACCAAGGGUUCCUGUCCAACGUUAAUCGGGGCAGGGUGAGUCGACCCCUAAGGCGAGGCCGAAAGGCGUAGUCGAUGGGAAACGGGUUAAUAUUCCCGUACUUGGUGUUACUGCGAAGGGGGGACGGAGAAGGCUAUGUUGGCCGGGCGACGGUUGUCCCGGUUUAAGCGUGUAGGUGUGUGUUCCAGGUAAAUCCGGUUCACUUUAACACUGAGGCGUGACGACGAGGCACUACGGUGCUGAAGCAACAAAUGCCCUGCUUCCAGGAAAAGCCUCUAAGCAUCAGGUAACAC